GGAAGUAAAAGUCGUAACAAGGUCUCCGUUGGUGAACCAGCGGAGGGAUCAUUACUGAGUUUACGCUCUACAACCCUUUGUGAACAUACCUAUAACUGUUGCUUCGGCGGGUAGGGUCUCCGCGACCCUCCCGGCCUCCCGCCUCCGGGCGGGUCGGCGCCCGCCGGAGGAUAACCAAACUCUGAUUUAACGACGUUUCUUCUGAGUGGUACAAGCAAAUAAUCAAAACUUUUAACAACGGAUCUCUUGGUUCUGGCAUCGAUGAAGAACGCAGCGAAAUGCGAUAAGUAAUGUGAAUUGCAGAAUUCAGUGAAUCAUCGAAUCUUUGAACGCACAUUGCGCCCGCCAGCAUUCUGGCGGGCAUGCCUGUUCGAGCGUCAUUUCAACCCUCAAGCUCUGCUUGGUGUUGGGGCCCUACAGCCGAUGUAGGCCCUCAAAGGUAGUGGCGGACCCUCCCGGAGCCUCCUUUGCGUAGUAACUUUACGUCUCGCACUGGGAUCCGGAGGGACUCUUGCCGUAAAACCCCCCAAUUUUCCAAAGGUUGACCUCGGAUCAGGUAGGAAUACCCGCUGAACUUAAGCAUAUCAAUAAGCGGAGGAGCAUAUCAAUAAGCGGAGGA
rnacentral:rRNA from 1 species